AUUAAUUAAGCGUUAUAGACGAUUAAUACGAAGUUUAGCGUAAUAAUAAUAAAAGUGGUUAGUUAUAUGUAACAAUCAGGAGUACGGUGUUGCUUGCACAUUUUCAUAUUUAGUAUGCAUUUAGGCUGUGGAGGAUUCCUCCCGGUGAGCACCCAUCUCAGAUGAAGGGCGAGCGGUCUCGUCUACUGGAGUGGAGCGUCAAGCUGGUUUACUGGUGCUAUGCACUCGGUGUGUCUCUGGACUUAGUAGCUGCUGUGUGGGGUGGGCCGUUUGGUACUUGUUGCUUUAUGUGUCAAGCCAGAUGGUGUCCGUAGUCCGCUUCAGGCUCUGCGGCUCGGCUCCCGAGCACAUGGCCUUGCCAUCUUAGAUCUAGGCCUCAAGCCUGUCCGUGUGCGGCUGUAAAGCAAGGACCGGGAUCACCCCCCUGGUCCAGAGGGGAAGGGAUCAGGACCGGGUCCGCAGAUUGUCCACGAGUUUGUCGGGCUCCGUUGGGUAGGAUAGUGGAGCGGCGGCCGUCCACUCCACUCACCGCCAGGUGAGGUCUCGUCUGAUGCCGCAGGGACCUCUCCUCUGAGGGACUAGAACUCUGAGAGCAAGCCUCUCCCCAGCUCUGGUAGCCCAUGCACAUCGAGGGUCGCAGUUAUUGGCAAUAUAUUCCCUCCAAAAGCACGAUUUACAGGCUUAAUAGGACAUAUUUGGCAGGAGCUGAUCCGCCCUGCGACCGCUCAACUCGGCGGCUCAGCCCUGCCCCCUGGUUGUUGUUUUUUUAAUACUUUACUUUUCAAAAUAAACUGACGUAUCUAUGAAAAUGUACAUUUUAGUUUUUUUGUGGCCCACAUAAAGUUAAUCCUUGUUUAUUUGGCCCCAUUGAGUUUGACAUGCUUGAUUUAAAGGAUGACUGGUGUUUCUGUAUUGGGAAAGUGCUGGAUAAUGGAGUUAGUAAGUGCUUCCACCUCCAUAUUUUAACCACCAUCGUGUUGAACAGGGGAUUGGACGGUGGGAUAAAACUGACUUGUACCAGCCCCCUUUUAAUGACUUGAUGCCUUUCCCAAUACCAUCCACAUUCUAAUCUAUUGGCAAGCUUGGAUCUUCGUUUUGCUCAGUUUAGUGAAUGAUCCCCUUUGUACUGUAUAUGCCGCUCUUUCAAAAAAGAAAUAACAUUCAAUUUAUAUGUAAG